rnacentral:rRNA from 1 species
UUGAUGGCGACCGGCGCACGGGUGAGUAACACGUAUCCAACCUACCGGUUAUUCUGGGAUAGCCUUUCGAAAGAAAGAUUAAUACCGGAUAGUAUAACGAGAAGGCAUCUUUUUGUUAUUAAAGAAUUUCGAUAAUCGAUGGGGAUGCGUUCCAUUAGUUUGUUGGCGGGGUAACGGCCCACCAAGACAUCGAUGGAUAGGGGUUCUGAGAGGAAGGUCCCCCACAUUGGAACUGAGACACGGUCCAA